AUUGAACGCUGGCGGCAUGCCUUACACAUGCAAGUCGAACGGCAGCACGGGCUUCGGUCUGGUGGCGAGUGGCGAACGGGUGAGUAAAGUAUCGGAACGUACCUUUCAGUGGGGGAUAACGUAGCGAAAGUUACGCUAAUACCGCAUAUUCUGUGAGCAGGAAAGCAGGGGAUCGCAAGACCUUGCGCUGAUUGAGCGGCCGAUAUCAGAUUAGCUAGUUGGUGGGGUAAAGGCCUACCAAGGCUACGAUCUGUAGCGGGUCUGAGAGGAUGAUCCGCCACACUGGAACUGAGACACGGUCCAGACUCCUACGGGAGGCAGCAGUGGGGAAUUUUGGACAAUGGGGGCGAACCCUACGAUCCACGCCACUGCCGCCGUG
rnacentral:rRNA from 1 species